AAUCUGCCCUUUUGUCUGGGACAACAGCUGGAAACGGCUGCUAAUACCGGAUACGCCCUUCGGGGGAAAGGUCCGCCGCAGAAGGAGGAGCCCGCGUCUGAUUAGCUUGUUGGUAGGGUAAUGGCCUACCAAGGCAACGAUCAGUAGCUGGUCUGAGAGGAUGAUCAGCCACACUGGGACUGAGACACGGCCCAGACUCCUACGGGAGGCAGCAGUGGGGAAUAUUGGACAAUGGGGGCAACCCUGAUCCAGCAAUGCCGCGUGUGUGAUGAAGGCCUUAGGGUUGUAAAGCACUUUCACUGGUGAAGAUGAUGACGGUAACCAGAGAAGAAGCCCCGGCUAACUUCGUGCCAGCAGCCGCGGUAAUACGAAGGGGGCGAGCGU
rnacentral:rRNA from 1 species